rnacentral:rRNA from 1 species
UACGGGGGGGGGUAAGCGUUGUUCGGAAUUACUGGGCGUAAAGGGCUCGUAGGCGGCCAACUAAGUCAGACGUGAAAUCCCCUCAGCUUAACUGGGGAACUGCGUCUGAUACUGGAUGGCUUGGAUCCGGGAGAGGGAUGCGGAAUUCCAGGUGUAGCGGUGAAAUGCGUAGAUAUCUGGAGGAACACCGGUGGCGAAGGCGGCAUCCUGGACCGGUAUUGACGCUGAGGAGCGAAAGCCAGGGGAGCAAAGCGGG